rnacentral:lncRNA from 1 species
GUGGAUGAUUUAGCUAUCACAUCUAUAAUAAAUAAAUAAUUAAAUUAAAUUAAUUAAAGCAUGCAUAUAAGAGUUUUUAUAGUUCUAACGAAGAGUUUUGGUAUAGAUUUCUUACCAGUCUAUGGCCACAAUAUGUGCAUCGAUCGAGCCACCCGUAUGCCUGAUCGGAUCCUACUAGACGACCUAGUUCUGCCAAACCCUUUGCCGCCUAUCGAAGUACUCCUCGCUGUUCCACUGAUCGUAGAGGGUUUGCCAUAUGUCCACCCACAUCCAGUGAUCCAUGAAGGACCUCCAGUCUGAUGGUGACUGGGAAUCGGUGUGCUGGAUGGUGGACUGCUUGAGGCUAUAGAGGCCAUCUCAGAACCUCCAUGUGGCCACCUCCUCGAAGGUCCGAUAGCCAAUCUCCUCAUCCUGAAGAGUCUCAAAUCGAUAGUACUC